rnacentral:rRNA from 1 species
UGGGGAAUAUUGCACAAUGGGCGCAAGCCUGAUGCAGCGACGCCGCGUGAGGGAUGAAGGCCUUCGGGUUGUAAACCUCUUUCGUCAGGGAACAAGGCACUGCUUUUGGUGGUGUUGAGGGUACCUGGAUAAGAAGCGCCGGCUAACUACGUGCCAGCAGCCGCGGUAAUACGUAGGGCGCAAGCGUUGUCCGGAAUUAUUGGGCGUAAAGAGCUCGUAGGCGGCUGGUCGCGUCUGUCGUGAAAACUUCCGGCUCAACCGGGGGCUUGCGGUGGGUACGGGCCGGCUAGAGUGCGGUAGGGGUAACUGGAACUCCUGGUGUAGCGGUGGAAUGCGCAGAUAUCAGGAAGAACACCGAUGGCGAAGGCAGGUUACUGGGCCGUUACUGACGCUGAGGAGCGAAAGCGUGGGGAGCGAACAGGAUUAGAUACCCUGGUAGUCCACGCUGUAAACGUUGGGCACUAGGUGUGAGGCUCCUUUCCGGGGGUUUUGCGCCGUAGCUNACGCAUUAAGUGCCCCGCCUGGGGAGUACGGCCGCAAGGCUA